UCCCAAUUCUUUCAUGCAGUGGUUAGGGAGUUGGGCUUGUAUCCCCAAGGUUGUGGGUUCAGUUCCCAGAUAGGGCA